rnacentral:rRNA from 1 species
UGGGGAAUAUUGCGCAAUGGGGGGAACCCUGACGCAGCCAUGCCGCGUGAAUGAAGAAGGCCUUAGGGUUGUAAAGUUCUUUCGGUAUUGAGGAAGGUUGACGUGUUAAUAGCACAUCAAAUUGACGUUAAAUACAGAAGAAGCACCGGCUAACUCCGUGCCAGCAGCCGCGGUAAUACGGAGGGUGCGAGCGUUAAUCGGAAUAACUGGGCGUAAAGGGCACGCAGGCGGUUAUUUAAGUGAGGUGUGAAAGCCCUGGGCUUAACCUGGGAAUUGCAUUUCAGACUGGGUAACUAGAGUACUUUAGGGAGGGGUAGAAUUCCACGUGUAGCGGUGAAAUGCGUAGAGAUGUGGAGGAAUACCGAAGGCGAAGGCAGCCCCUUGGGAAUGUACUGACGCUCAUGUGCGAAAGCGUGGGGAGCAAACAGGAUUAGAUACCCUGGUAGUCCACGCUGUAAACGCUGUCGAUUUGGGGGUUGGGGUUUAACUCUGGCGCCCGUAGCUAACGUGAUAAAUCGACCGCCUGGGGAGUACGGCCGCAAGGUUA